UACCAGCUCUCCGAGUUGUAGGGAUGAUUAUUGGGCUUAAAGCGUCCGUAGCUGGCUUAGCAAGUCUCCUGUUAAAUUCAGCGACCUAAUCGUUGAGCCGCGGGAGGAACUACUAGGCUAGGAGGCGGGAGAGGUCGACGGUACUUUCGGGGUAGGGGUGAAAUCCUAUAAUCCCGGGAGGACCACCAGUGGCGAAGGCUGUCGACUAGAACGCGCUCGACGGUGAGGGACGAAAGCUGGGGGAGCGAACCGGAUUAGAUACCCGGGUAGUCCCAGCUGUAAACUAUGCGGGCUAGGUGUUGGGGUGGCUACGGGCCACUUCAGUGCCGCAGGAAAGCCAUUAAGCCCGCCGCCUGGGGAGUACGGCCGCAAGGCUGAAACUUAAAGGAAUUGGCGGGGAGCACCACAAGGCGUGAAGCUUGCGGUUC
rnacentral:rRNA from 1 species